CCUAAGAUAGGCAAGUCGAACGGUAACUGGUAGCAACAGAUAUGAGAGUGGCGUACGGGUGCGUAACGCGUACACAACCUGCCUUGUACUGGGGGAUAGCCUCGGGAACCUGAGAUUAAUAGGACCUAAUUUUACGAUGUGGCAUCAACGGGGUAAUUAACGCUCCGGCGGUACAAGAUGGGUGUGCGUCCGAUUAGGUAGUUGGUGAGGUAACGGCUCACCAAGCCGACGAUCGGUAGCUGGUCUGAGAGGACGAUCAGGGACCCGGGCACUGAGACACGGGCCAGACUCCUACGGGAGGCAGCAGUAGGGAAUAUUGGACAAUGGACGCAAGUCUGAUCCAGCCAUCCAGCGUGAAGGAUUAAGGCCAUCUGGGUUGUAACCUUCUUUUCUUUGGGAAUAACAAGCGGUAUUCAUAUCGCCUUGAAGGUACCAGGGGAAUAAGCACCGGCUAACUCCGUGCCAGCAGCCGCGGUAACAGAGGAGGGUGCAAGCGUUAUCCGGAUUCACUGGGUUUAACGGGUGCGUAGGUGGUCUGUUAAGUCAGCGGUGAACGCCUGGAGUUCAACUCCAGAAUUGCACGGGGACAGAUGACGGACUUGAAUCAAGUUGAGGUGGAUGGAAUAUGAUAGGUAGCGGUGAACUGCUUAGAUAUGUAAUAGAACACCGAUUGCGAAGGCAGUUCACUAAGCUUGACGGGGACACUGAGGCACGAACGCGUGGGGAUCAACCAGGAUUAGACA
rnacentral:rRNA from 1 species